rnacentral:rRNA from 1 species
UUCCGGUUGAUCCUGCCGGAGGCUACUGCUAUUGGAAUUCGACUAAGCCAUGCGAGUCAAGGUGUCUUCGGACGCCGGCAAACGGCUCAGUAACACGUAGGUAAUCUACCCUCAGGACUGAGAUAACCCCGGGAAACUGGGGCUAAUACCAGAUAGAUAAAAGAUACUGGAAUGUUCUUUUAUCCAAAGCUUUUGUGCCUGAGGAUGAGCCUGCGCCCGAUUAGGUAGUUGGUGGGGUAAUGGCCCACCAAGCCUGCGAUCGGUACGGGCAGUGGGAGCUGUAGCCCGGAGUUGGGGACUGAGACAAGGCCCCAGGCCCUACGGGGCGCAGCAGGCGCGAAACCUCUGCAAUGCGGGAAACCGUGACAGGGGGAUUCCAAGUGCUCAUGCAUUGCAUGGGCUGUUCUUUGGUCUAAGUAACCAGAGGAGUAAGGGCUGGGCAAGACCGGUGCCAGCCGCCGCGGUAAUACCGGCAGCUCGAGUGGUAGCCGCGAUUAUUGGGCCUAAAACGUUCGUAGCCGGAUAAGUAAGUCUUUGGUUAAAUCCUACGACUUAACCGUUGGAAAUCUAGAGAUACUGCUUGUCUUGAGACCGGGAGAGGUUGGAGGUACUCCCAGGGUAGGGGUGAAAUCCUGUAGUCCUGGGGGGACCACCUGUGGCGAAGGCGUCCAACUGGAACGGCUCUGACGGUGAGGGACGAAACCUAGGGGAGCGAGCCGGAUUAGAUACCCGGGUAGUCCUAGGCGUAAAUGAUGCGAGUUAAGUGUGGGGGCAUCUACGAGAUGGCCCUGUGCUGUAGGGUAGCCGUUAAACUCGCUGCCUGGGGAGUACGGUCGCAGGGCUGAAACUUAAAGGAAUUGGCGGGGGAGCACCACAAGAGGUGGAGGCUGCGGUUCAAUUGGAUUCAACGCCGG